AACUUCACGACGGACAGGUGUACGACCUGAGCAACCGCAAAACAAUUGACCGAACCAACUACGUCUUAAAUACAUGACAUUGUUAAAGAACUGGAAAGAUGGCUUCGAAGAUGCCGCUACCUUACCAAUUUUAUUGAGGAUCGUAUAGAAAGGUUCUACAUCACAUUUGCUAAAGACACUUACAAUAGAGGAAUCCAGUCCACAUGAUCAGAAGAUUAAUAUGUACAUUUCAUCAUACGAAUAUUAUUUCCUUUUAUUAUUAGUGAUUCUUCCAGUAUAUCUAUUUUUUAAAUUAUGGUCAUGGUUAGGCUGGCAAUUGUUUGUAAAUAAUUAAUUAAUACUACGUACAUUCCACUUCUUUGGUUAAUUUCACUUUGUAUUCUUUCUAAUACUUUAAUCUCUUAAAUUUUAGUAAUAUCAAGACUGCAUAUGUUUGUAUGCAGCUAUAAUAUAUGUACAUAUGUAAUAUCUCAUCAAUAUGUUAAAUGAAUUAUCGUUGAAUAUUUAUAUAUAAAAAA